GCUGGCGGCAGGCCUAAUUCAUGCAAGUCGAGCGGAAACGAUGGGAGCUUGCUCCCAGGCGUCGAGCGGCGGACGGGUGAGUAAUGCAUAGGAAUCUGCCCGGUAGUGGGGGAUAACCUGGGGAAACUCAGGCUAAUACCGCAUACGUCCUACGGGAGAAAGCAGGGGAUCUUCGGACCUUGCGCUAUCGGAUGAGCCUAUGUCGGAUUAGCUAGUUGGUGAGGUAAUGGCUCACCAAGGCCGCGAUCCGUAGCUGGUCUGAGAGGAUGAUCAGCCACAUCGGGACUGAGACACGGCCCGAACUCCUACGGGAGGCAGCAGUGGGGAAUAUUGGACAAUGGGCGAAAGCCUGAUCCAGCCAUGCCGCGUGUGUGAAGAAGGCCCUCGGGUUGUAAAGCACUUUCAGUGAGGAAGAAGGCUUGUGGGUUAAUACCCUGCAAGAAGGACAUCACUCACAGAAGAAGCACCGGCUAACUCCGUGCCAGCAGCCGCGGUAAUACGGAGGGUGCAAGCGUUAAUCGGAAUUACUGGGCGUAAAGCGCGCGUAGGCGGCUUGAUAAGCCGGUUGUGAAAGCCCCGGGCUCAACCUGGGAACGGCAUCCGGAACUGUCAGGCUAGAGUGCAGGAGAGGAAGGUAGAAUUCCCGGUGUAGCGGUGAAAUGCGUAGAGAUCGGGANGAAUACCAGUGGCNAANGCGGCCUUCUGGACU
rnacentral:rRNA from 1 species